GUGGUGAAGUUGACUCCAAAGUGGUUAGUAAGCAGAUCGAUCUUCUGUCCUCUAGAACCGUUACCACUCCGAGCCAUUUGAAGAUGAGUACUCUUGUUCGGAUCCAUUUCUGGAGUCGUUAAACCCACAUGGUCACAUUUUAAUCAUAUUUCAUUAACUUAAAAGUUUAAAACACAUUUUUAUGAAACCUAAUCAAGAAUAAAGCAAGAAAAUGGAGAUAAACUUGAAGAUAUAUGACAGAAAAAGAAUUGUCAAGAUGAAGAGAAAAAACUUGCCAGAGAAAAAGAAAAGAGUUAUGUAAGUGGAUGCAAACUUUUUUAAUAGUAUUUUAAUAAAUCAAACGUAUUCUGAUAUAAUCUAAACAUGAAAAAAUGAAAUAGAACAAGCAAGAAGUGGAGUUAAACAUGAAGAUUUAUUACAUAAUAAAACAAUAGUCAAAGAUGAAGAGAAAAUCUUGCCUGAGGAAAAAAAGAUACGGAGUAUGUAAGAGGAGACGAAGAGUGCGAUGACGAAGCCAAACUAGUCGUUGCGCUACCUAUGCUUAUUUUUAGUGAACAAGACAGAGAUUUGUAACUUCUUCUUUUUUUUUUUCUGGA
rnacentral:lncRNA from 1 species